GGGCCCGCACAAGCGGUGGAUCAUGUGGUUUAAUUCGAAGCAACGCGAAUAACCUUACCUGGGUUUGACAUCUCCGGACAAACGUAGAAAUACGUCUUUUGUAGCAAUACAACCGGAAGACAGGUGCUGCAUGGCUGUCGUCAGCUCGUGUGGUGACAUGUUGGGUUAAGUCCCGCAACGAGCGCAACCCUUGCCUUUAGUUGCCAGCAUUAAGUUGGGCACUCUAGAGGGACUGCCGUGGUUAACACGGAGGAAGGUGGGGAUGACGUCAAGUCCUCAUGGCCUUUAUAUCCAGGGCGACACACGUGAUACAAUGGAUGGCACAAAGGGAAGCGAACCCGCGAGGGGGAGCUAAUCUCAAAAAGCCAUUCUCAGUUCGGAUUGGAGUCUGCAACUCGACUCCAUGAAGCUGGAAUCGCUAGUAAUCGCGGAUCAGAACGCCGCGGUGAAUACGUUCCCGGGCCUU
rnacentral:rRNA from 1 species